CCUACGGGUGGCUGCAGUGAGGAAUAUUGGUCAAUGGACGAGAGUCUGAACCAGCCAAGUAGCGUGAAGGAUGACUGCCCUAUGGGUUGUAAACUUCUUUUAUAAAGGAAUAAAACGAGGCACGUGUGCCUUUUGGCAUGUACUUUAUGCAUAAGGAUCGGCUAACUCCGUGCCAGCAGCCGCGGUAAGACGGAGGUGCCGAGCGUUAUCCGGAUUGAUUGGGUUUAACGGGAGCGUAGAGGGGUUGUUAAGUCAGUUGUGAAAGCUUGCGGCUCAACCGUAAAAUUGCAAUUGAUACUGGCAGUCUUGAGUACAGUUGAGGUAGGCGGAAUUCGUGGUGUAGCGGUGAAAUGCUUAGAUAUCACGAAGAACCCCGAUUGCGAAGGCAGCUUCCUAAACUGUGACUGACAUUGAUGCUCGAAAGUGUGGGUAUCAAACAGGAUUAGAUACCCGGGUAGUC
rnacentral:rRNA from 1 species